UACGUAGGGGGCAAGCGUUGUCCGGAAUCAUUGGGCGUAAAGCGCGCGUAGGCGGCCCGGUAAGUCCGCUGUAAAAGUCCAGGGCUCAACCCUGGAAAGCCGGUGGAUACUGUCGGGCUAGAGUCCGGAAGAGGCGAGUGGAACUCCGAGUGUAGAGGUGAAAUUCGUAGAUAUUCGCAAGAACACCAGUGGCGAAGGCGGCUCACUGGCCCGGUACUGACGCUGAGGUGCGAAAGCGUGGGGAGCAAACAGG
rnacentral:rRNA from 1 species